AUCAACUUUCGAUGGUAGGAUAGAGGCCUACCAUGGUGGUAACGGAUAACGGGGGUGUUAGGGCACGACACCGGAGAGGGAGCCUGAGAAAUGGCUACCACAUCCAAGGAUGGCAGCAGGCGUGCAAAUUACCCAAUCCCGACACAGGGAGGUAGUGACAAUAAAUAACAAUACGGGGUUCUUUCAGAUCUCGUAAUUGGAAUGAGUACAAUUUAAAUCUCUUAACGAGGAACAAUUGGAGGGCAAGUCUGGUGCCAACAGCCACGGUAAUUCCAGCUCCAAUAGCGUAUAUUAAAGUUGUUGCAGUUAAAAAGCUCGUAGUUGAAUUUCGGGGUUAGUAGGUUGGUUAUGCCUCUGGUAUGUACUGGUCUCACUGAUUCCUCCUUCCUGAUGAACCGUAAUGCCAUUAAUUUGGUAUUGCGGGGAAUUUGGACUGUUACUUUGAAAAAAUUAGAGUGUUUAAAGCAAGCUAACGCUUGAAUACAUUAGCAUGGAAUAAUAAAAUAGGACGUUUGAUCCUAUUUUGUUGGUUUCUAGGAUUGACGUAAUGAUUAAUAGGGAUAGUUGGGGGCAUUAGUAUUCAAUUGUCAGAGGUGAAAUUCUUGGAUUUAUUGAAGACUAACUACUGCGAAAGCAUUUGCCAAGGAUGUUUUCAUUAAUCAAAAACGAAAGUUAGGGGAUCGAAGACGAUCAGAUACUGUCGUAGCCUUAACCAUAAAACUAUGCCGACUAGGGAUCAGAUGAUGUUAAUUUUUUAAUGACUCAUUCAGCGCCUUACGGGAAACCAAAGUGUUUGGGUUC
rnacentral:rRNA from 1 species